rnacentral:lncRNA from 1 species
CUUUGUUAAUGUAGGCAUUCAUUACUAUAAACUUCUCAGUAAUAUUUUUGCUGCAUCACCUAAGUUUUGGCAUGCUGUGUUUUGUUUUUGUCUUUGUCUUGAGAUUCCUUCUAAUUUCCCUGCUGAUUUAUCCUCUGACCCGUAGGUUGUGUCAACUGAAGAAUGAUGAGGUUCAUCAAUUUGGAAAGGAGAGCUUUAUUUCUCAAAAAUGAUUGCAGCCUGCAAGGUGGCCAUUCUGACAGCCUAGGAAAGACUGGCUCGGACAGAGGGAGACCUUCAUCCAUCAGCCUUGGGAGAUAUUCCGGGUGCUUCUCAAACCCCUUCUAUGGAUGUGUAUUUUCUGAACGAAUGCAUGGGUUGCGGACAGCAGGUCAUGGGACAUCUCAGCCUCCAUAAUCAUGAGUGGGAAGAAAAAGAAAAAACAAUUGUUCUCCUUGGUGUGUUGGAUCUUGGGCGGAUAAAGGAACUUCAACUCCUUCGGUGAGAUGGUAGCAGCAGAGAGGUCAGAGAGACCUUGAGGCUUUGUCUUCAGUUGAGCAUGUCAAAACACCAUAUUUUGAUGUUUCUGAGUCCCAACAUGGGAAGUAAGAAGUGUGUUCUACAUUUAGAAUAGAGAAAAAUGUAAUAAAAUUUAAGAAGUACCUACAUAUAUAAGCUACAAUUUUAUUAAAGUGCUG